AUCCAACUGAUGAGUCCCAAAGAGGACGAAAUGCACUUUAUCCUGGAU
rfam:Trichobilharzia regenti genome assembly, scaffold: TRE_scaffold0024984